rnacentral:rRNA from 1 species
GUGGGGAAUAUUGGACAAUGGGCGCAAGCCUGAUCCAGCCAUGCCGCGUGAGUGAUGAAGGCCCUAGGGUUGUAAAGCUCUUUCAACGGUGAAGAUAAUGACGGUAACCGUAGAAGAAGCCCCGGCUAACUUCGUGCCAGCAGCCGCGGUAAUACGAAGGGGGCUAGCGUUGUUCGGAAUUACUGGGCGUAAAGCGCACGUAGGCGGAUCGAUCAGUUAGGGGUGAAAUCCCGGGGCUCAACCCCGGAACUGCCUCUAAUACUGUCGAUCUCGAGUUCGAGAGAGGUGAGUGGAAUUCCGAGUGUAGAGGUGAAAUUCGUAGAUAUUCGGAAGAACACCAGUGGCGAAGGCGACUCACUGGCUCAUUACUGACGCUGAGGCUCGAAAGCGUGGGGAGCAAACAGGAUUAGAUACCCUGGUAGUCC